rnacentral:rRNA from 1 species
UACGAAGGGUGCAAGCGUUACUCGGAAUUACUGGGCGUAAAGCGUGAGUAGGUGGUUUCUUAAGUCUGCUGUGAAAGCCCCGGGCUCAACCUGGGAAUUGCAGUGGAUACUGGGAAGCUAGAGUGCGGUAGAGGGUAGUGGAAUUCCCGGUGUAGCGGUGAAAUGCGUAGAGAUCGGGAGGGACACCAGUGGCGAAGGCGGCUACCUGGACCAGCACUGACACUGAGUCACGAAAGCGUGGGGAGCAAACAGG